rnacentral:misc_RNA from 1 species
AAGUCGUAACAAGGUCUCCGUUGGUGAACCAGCGGAGGGAUCAUUAAAAACGAGUCCCAAGACUUAAAAACCUACCGUGCUCCCCUACGUGGACAAUAGGAAAGCCCUCCGGGGCAUAGGAAAUCUGAGAAAUUGAAGAACUGCGCCCCGGCGCAUGACUAAAACAAAAAUUACAACCCAUAACAAUGGAUCUCUUGGCUCUG